rnacentral:rRNA from 1 species
UUAAGCGACUAAGCGUACACGGUGGAUGCCCUGGCAGUCAGAGGCGAUGAAGGGCGUGCUAAUCUGCGAUAAGCGCCGGUAAGGUGAUAUGAACCGUUAUAACCGGCGAUACCCGAAUGGGGAAACCCAGUGUGACUCGUCACACUAUCAUUAACUGAAUCCAUAGGUUAAUGAGGCGAACCGGGGGAACUGAAACAUCUAAGUACCCCGAGGAAAAGAAAUCAACCGAGAUUCCCCCAGUAGCGGCGAGCGAACGGGGAGGAGCCCAGAGCCUGAAUCAGCAUAUGUGUUAGUGGAAGCGUCUGGAAAGGCGCGCGAUACAGGGUGACAGCCCCGUACACAAAAGCGCAUGUGCUGUGAGCUCGAUGAGUAGGGCGGGACACGUGGUAUCCUGUCUGAAUAUGGGGGGACCAUCCUCCAAGGCUAAAUACUCCUGACUGACCGAUAGUGAACCAGUACCGUGAGGGAAAGGCGAAAAGAACCCCGGCGAGGGGAGUGAAAAAGAACCUGAAACCGUGUACGUACAAGCAGUGGGAGCACCCUUUGGGGUGUGACUGCGUACCUUUUGUAUAAUGGGUCAGCGACUUAUAUUCUGUAGCAAGGUUAACCGUAUAGGGGAGCCGGAGGGAAACCGAGUCUUAACCGGGCGUUAAGUUGCAGGGUAUAGACCCGAAACCCGGUGAUCUAGCCAUGGGCAGGUUGAAGGUUGGGUAACACUAACUGGAGGACCGAACCGACUAAUGUUGAAAAAUUAGCGGAUGACCUGUGGCUGGGGGUGAAAGGCCAAUCAAACCGGGAGAUAGCUGGUUCUCCCCGAAAGCUAUUUAGGUAGCGCCUCGUGAAUUCAUCUCCGGGGGUAGAGCACUGUUUCGGCUAGGGGGCCAUCCCGGCUUACCAACCCGAUGCAAACUGCGAAUACCGGAGAAUGUUAUCACGGGAGACACACGGCGGGUGCUAACGUCCGUCGUGAAGAGGGAAACAACCCAGACCGCCAGCUAAGGUCCCAAAGUCAUGGUUAAGUGGGAAACGAUGUGGGAAGGCCCAGACAGCCAGGAUGUUGGCUUAGAAGCAGCCAUCAUUUAAAGAAAGCGUAAUAGCUCACUGGUCGAGUCGGCCUGCGCGGAAGAUGUAACGGGGCUAAACCAUGCACCGAAGCUGCGGCAGCGAACGUAUCACCCAAGACAACUUUACGGAGUUGACGAUUGACGGAGCGAAGCGACGUCAAAGCGUUCAUUAAAGUCGAGUUGGCUUAGGGAUACGUUCGUUGGGUAGGGGAGCGUUCUGUAAGCCUGCGAAGGUGGCCUGUGAGGGUUGCUGGAGGUAUCAGAAGUGCGAAUGCUGACAUAAGUAACGAUAAAGCGGGUGAAAAGCCCGCUCGCCGGAAGACCAAGGGUUCCUGUCCAACGUUAAUCGGGGCAGGGUGAGUCGACCCCUAAGGCGAGGCCGAAAGGCGUAGUCGAUGGGAAACGGGUUAAUAUUCCCGUACUUGGUGUUACUGCGAAGGGGGGACGGAGAAGGCUAUGUUGGCCGGGCGACGGUUGUCCCGGUUUAAGCGUGUAGGUGUGUGUUCCAGGUAAAUCCGGUUCACUUUAACACUGAGGCGUGACGACGAGGCACUACGGUGCUGAAGCAACAAAUGCCCUGCUUCCAGGAAAAGCCUCUAAGCAUCAGGUAACAUCAAAUCGUACCCCAAACCGACACAGGUGGUCAGGUAGAGAAUACCAAGGCGCUUGAGAGAACUCGGGUGAAGGAACUAGGCAAAAUGGUGCCGUAACUUCGGGAGAAGGCACGCUGACACGUAGGUGAAGUGAUUUACUCACGGAGCUGAAGUCAGUCGAAGAUACCAGCUGGCUGCAACUGUUUAUUAAAAACACAGCACUGUGCAAACACGAAAGUGGACGUAUACGGUGUGACGCCUGCCCGGUGCCGGAAGGUUAAUUGAUGGGGUCAGCGCAAGCGAAGCUCCUGAUCGAAGCCCCGGUAAACGGCGGCCGUAACUAUAACGGUCCUAAGGUAGCGAAAUUCCUUGUCGGGUAAGUUCCGACCUGCACGAAUGGCGUAAUGAUGGCCAGGCUGUCUCCACCCGAGACUCAGUGAAAUUGAACUCGCUGUGAAGAUGCAGUGUACCCGCGGCAAGACGGAAAGACCCCGUGAACCUUUACUAUAGCUUGACACUGAACAUUGAGCCUUGAUGUGUAGGAUAGGUGGGAGGCUUUGAAGUGUGGACGCCAGUCUGCAUGGAGCCGACCUUGAAAUACCACCCUUUAAUGUUUGAUGUUCUAACGUGGACCCGUUACCCGGGUUGCGGACAGUGUCUGGUGGGUAGUUUGACUGGGGCGGUCUCCUCCUAAAGAGUAACGGAGGAGCACGAAGGUUGGCUAAUCCUGGUCGGACAUCAGGAGGUUAGUGCAAUGGCAUAAGCCAGCUUGACUGCGAGCGUGACGGCGCGAGCAGGUGCGAAAGCAGGUCAUAGUGAUCCGGUGGUUCUGAAUGGAAGGGCCAUCGCUCAACGGAUAAAAGGUACUCCGGGGAUAACAGGCUGAUACCGCCCAAGAGUUCAUAUCGACGGCGGUGUUUGGCACCUCGAUGUCGGCUCAUCACAUCCUGGGGCUGAAGUAGGUCCCAAGGGUAUGGCUGUUCGCCAUUUAAAGUGGUACGCGAGCUGGGUUUAGAACGUCGUGAGACAGUUCGGUCCCUAUCUGCCGUGGGCGCUGGAGAACUGAGGGGGGCUGCUCCUAGUACGAGAGGACCGGAGUGGACGCAUCACUGGUGUUCGGGUUGUCAUGCCAAUGGCACUGCCCGGUAGCUAAAUGCGGAAGAGAUAAGUGCUGAAAGCAUCUAAGCACGAAACUUGCCCCGAGAUGAGUUCUCCCUGAGACUUAGAGUCUCCUGAAGGAACGUUGAAGACGACGACGUUGAUAGGCCGGGUGUGUAAGCGCAGCGAUGCGUUGAGCUAACCGGUACUAAUGAACCGUGAGGCUUAACCUU